rfam:Xenorhabdus cabanillasii JM26, WGS project CBXE01000000 data, contig: XENCA_2134_Contig_152
UUCAAUGGCGGUUCAGGCGGGGGAGGCUUCGGCCUCACCGGAUGAGCGUUACCGGUAUUGGAAACCCUGCUUGAAUCGCCACCAAU